AAAGGAGAAUGAAGCUGACACUGAAAAUGAUGAGAGUGAUGGAGAAGAAAAUGAACCUGAAAUUCAAGAAUGUACAAAUAGAGAGAAAAGUGAUGAUGAGAAUGAUGCUAAUAAUGUCAAUGAAAGAGAAGACAAGGAGAAUGAAGCUGACACUGAAAAAGAUGAGAGUGAUGGAGAAGAAAAUGAACCUGAAAUUCAAGUGACGGAUUUAGAACAACUGUGCGAAAUUGUUGGAGUUGUUGAAACUGUUUCAGAUGUCUACACUGUAGAAGAGAUAAGGAAAAAGAGGCGAAGAAAAGGCAAAACAGAAUACCUUGUGAAGUGGGAGGGAUACGAAGAAUGCACCUGGGAGCCGUAUAACAAUAUUCCUUAUAGUUUGAGAAUGUCAAAGUUAAAAAAGAAAUUUAAAAAAAAAUGGUUUGCGAUGGAUUACAAAAAAAAAUUCUUUUUUUAAUUCGUUUUAAUUAGUUGGUAAUAUAUGCUGUGAGAGUUUCCUUUUGCAGUAUUACAGUGUAUAAUAAGGCCUAAAAAAUUGUUAUGUUGCCCAUGCCAAGGACAAUUUCAAAAGAGGGUAGGUUGUUCAGAUUUUUUUUUUCUCCUUCCUAGACCAUAUAUACACAUAUUAUAGCUGUUCCAUUUACGACUACGUAAAGUUUGCCUAGGGCUAGCCUAUUGUUAAUUUACUAAUAAAAUACUUAAAUAUGACAAAUCUACAGUGAUAUUGACCAUCUAUAAUUGUAUUCAAAAUUCAUUUUACCACAUCACUAAUUGAUUUCCAAUAAUAGGUACAAAAUUUCUAGAGCACGUAUCAGGGCAUACAAUGUUGAUUCUGACUUUAGAACAAAGGUAUUUUCCCUAUUCUUCGUCACUUUACACUAUGAUUCUAAAAGAGAACACAUGGUUUUAGAACUAUUUUAAAUGUCUGUUUUUGUAGUGUAUUUAAAUUAAAAAUCAUAUCCAUU